rnacentral:rRNA from 1 species
UACGUAGGCAGCAAGCGUUGUUCGGAGUUACUGGGCGUAAAGGGUGCGUAGGCGGCUUUUUAAGUUUGGUGUGAAAUCUCCCGGCUCAACUGGGAGGGUGCGCCGAAUACUGAGAAGCUAGAGUGUGGGAGAGGAAAGUGGAAUUCCUGGUGUAGCGGUGAAAUGCGUAGAUAUCGGGAGGAACACCUGAGGCGAAGGCGGGCUACUGGGCCGAUACUGACGCUGAUGCGCGAAAGCCAGGGGAGCGAACGGG